UACGGAGGGUGCAAGCGUUGUCCGGAAUCACUGGGCGUAAAGGGUGCGUAGGCGGCGCGGUAAGUCGGGUGUGAAAUCUUGGAGCUUAACUCCGAAACUGCAUUCGAUACUGCCGUGCUUGAGGACUGGAGAGGAGACUGGAAUUUACGGUGUAGCGGUGAAAUGCGUAGAUAUCGUAAGGAAGACCAGUGGCGAAGGCGGGUCUCUGGACAGUUCCUGACGCUGAGGCACGAAGGCCAGGGGAGCAAACGGG
rnacentral:rRNA from 1 species